rnacentral:rRNA from 1 species
CCGCACAAGCGGUGGAGCAUGUGGUUUAAUUCGAUGCAACGCGAAGAACCUUACCUGGUCUUGACAUCCACAGAACUUUCCAGAGAUGGAUUGGUGCCUUCGGGAACUGUGAGACAGGUGCUGCAUGGCUGUCGUCAGCUCGUGUUGUGAAAUGUUGGGUUAAGUCCCGCAACGAGCGCAACCCUUAUCCUUUGUUGCCAGCGAUUAGGUCGGGAACUCAAAGGAGACUGCCAGUGAUAAACUGGAGGAAGGUGGGGAUGACGUCAAGUCAUCAUGGCCCUUACGACCAGGGCUACACACGUGCUACAAUGGCGCAUACAAAGAGAAGCGACCUCGCGAGAGCAAGCGGACCUCAUAAAGUGCGUCGUAGUCCGGAUUGGAGUCUGCAACUCGACUCCAUGAAGUCGGAAUCGCUAGUAAUCGUGGAUCAGAAUGCCACGGUGAAUACGUUCCCGGGCCUUGUACACACCGCCCGUCACACCAUGGGAGUGGGUUGCAAAAGAAGUAGGUAGCUUAACCUUCGGGAGGGCGCUUACCACUUUGUGAUUCAUGACUGGGGUGAAGUCGUAACAAGGUAACCGUAGGGGAACCUGCGGUUGGAUCACCUCCUUACCUUAAAGAA